rnacentral:rRNA from 1 species
GCCUAACACAUGCAAGUCGAACGGCAGCACAGAGGAGCUUGCUCCUUGGGUGGCGAGUGGCGGACGGGUGAGGAAUACAUCGGAAUCUACUCUGUCGUGGGGGAUAACGUAGGGAAACUUACGCUAUACCUGCAUACGACCUACGGGUGAAAGCAGGGGAUCUUCGGACCUUGCGCGAUUGAAUGAGCCGAUGUCGGAUUAGCUAGUUGGCGGGGUAAAGGCCCACCAAGGCGACGAUCCGUAGCUGGUCUGAGAGGAUGAUCAGCCACACUGGAACUGAGACACGGUCCAGACUCCUACGGGAGGCAGCAGUGGGGAAUAUUGGACAAUGGGCGCAAGCCUGAUCCAGCCAUACCGCGUGGGUGAAGAAGGCCUUCGGGUUGUAAAGCCCUUUUGUUGGGAAAGAAAUCCAGCUGGCUAAUACCCGGUUGGGAUGACGGUACCCAAAGAAUAAGCACCGGCUAACUUCGUGCCAGCAGCCGCGGUAAUACGAAGGGUGCAAGCGUUACUCGGAAUUACUGGGCGUAAAGCGUGCGUANGUGGU